rnacentral:rRNA from 1 species
GAAAUUGAACUCGCUGUGAAGAUGCAGUGUACCCGCGGCAAGACGGAAAGACCCCGUGAACCUUUACUAUAGCUUGACACUGAACAUUGAGCCUUGAUGUGUAGGAUAGGUGGGAGGCUUUGAAGUGUGGACGCCAGUCUGCAUGGAGCCGACCUUGAAAUACCACCCUUUAAUGUUUGAUGUUCUAACGUUGGCCCCUAAUCGGGGUUGCGGACAGUGUCUGGUGGGUAGUUUGACUGGGGCGGUCUCCUCCUAAAGAGUAACGGAGGAGCACGAAGGUUGGCUAAUCCUGGUCGGACAUCAGGAGGUUAGUGCAAUGGCAUAAGCCAGCUUGACUGCGAGCGUGACGGCGCGAGCAGGUGCGAAAGCAGGUCAUAGUGAUCCGGUGGUUCUGAAUGGAAGGGCCAUCGCUCAACGGAUAAAAGGUACUCCGGGGAUAACAGGCUGAUACCGCCCAAGAGUUCAUAUCGACGGCGGUGUUUGGCACCUCGAUGUCGGCUCAUCACAUCCUGGGGCUGAAGUAGGUCCCAAGGGUAUGGCUGUUCGCCAUUUAAAGUGGUACGCGAGCUGGGUUUAGAACGUCGUGAGACAGUUCGGUCCCUAUCUGCCGUGGGCGCUGGAGAACUGAGGGGGGCUGCUCCUAGUACGAGAGGACCGGAGUGGACGCAUCACUGGUGUUCGGGUUGUCAUGCCAAUGGCACUGCCCGGUAGCUAAAUGCGGAAGAGAUAAGUGCUGAAAGCAUCUAAGCACGAAACUUGCCCCGAGAUGAGUUCUCCCUGACUCCCUGAGAGUCCUGAAGGAACGUUGAAGACGACGACGUUGAUAGGCCGGGUGUGUAAGCGCAGCGAUGCGUUGAGCUAACCGGUACUAAUGAACCGUGAGG